rnacentral:rRNA from 1 species
CAUGAAGCUGGAAUCGCUAGUAAUCGCGAAUCAGAAUGUCGCGGUGAAUACGUUCCCGGGUCUUGUACACACCGCCCGUCACACCAUGGGAGUCGGAAAUGCCCGAAGUCUGUGACCCAACCUACGGGAGGGAGCAGCCGAAGGCAGGUCGGAUGACUGGGGUGAAGUCGUAACAAGGUAUC